CAUCUCUAAACUCCACCUCUACAUAGCAUCCUCUAAACUCACACUCUCCACCUUCUCACUCAAACUUACUCUACUUCAUAUUCGACUCCCUUGCCAAACUCUUUGGAAGAGCUCGGACCUUUUAUGUUUGCUUCCAUAGAAAACUGACUUAGGCAUCAGAGGGUCUACCAUUGAGGAACGCCCCAAGUGUGAGGAUUUUUUUGUCUUUAAUGGUUUUGCAGU
rnacentral:lncRNA from 1 species